rnacentral:misc_RNA from 1 species
AAGUCGUAACAAGGUUUCCGUAGGUGAACCUGCGGAAGGAUCAUUAAAGAAUUUAACUUGGUAGAUUGUCGCUGGCUUUCGAGCAUGUGCACAUCUAUCAUCGUUAUAUUUCUCCACCUGUGCACCUUUUGUAGACCCUGGAUGCGCUUUAUCUCUGAAAGUUAUUAAGUUAACUCUCAGGUUUGUUAGGUUUGCAGGACUCUCGCGAGUUCAGCUCUCCUUGUAUAGUGUUCAGGAGUUCUAUGUACUUUCAUAUACACCGAAUUGAAAUAUCAGAAUGUUGUUAUAAGGUCUUUGUACCUAUAAUAAAAUUUAUACAACUUUCAGCAACGGAUCUCUUGGUUCUC